rnacentral:rRNA from 1 species
AACGAACGCUGGCGGCAGGCUUAACACAUGCAAGUCGAGCGCCCCGCCAGGGGGGCGGCCGGCGGGGGGGGAACGCGUGGGAACGUACCUUUUGGUUCGGGACAAAUCCGGGAAACUGGAGCUAAUACCGGAUAAGGCCUAAAGGGGAAAGAGUUAUCGCCGAAAGAUCGGCCCGCGUCUGGUUAGCUAGUUGGUGAGGUAACGGCUCACCAAGGCGACGAUCAGUAGCUGGUCUGAGAGGAUGAUCAGCCACACUGGGACUGAGACACGGCCCAGACUCCUACGGGAGGCAGCAGUGGGGAAUAUUGGACAAUGGGCGCAAGCCUGAUCCAGCCAUGCCGCGUGAGUGAUGAAGGCCUUAGGGUUGUAAAGCUCUUUUGUCCGGGAAGAUAAUGACUGUACCGGAAGAAUAAGCCCCGGCUAACUUCGUG